rnacentral:rRNA from 1 species
GGGUUGUGAGGUUAAGCGACUAAGCGUACACGGUGGAUGCCCUGGCAGUCAGAGGCGAUGAAGGACGUGCUAAUCUGCGAUAAGCGCCGGUAAGGUGAUAUGAACCGUUAUAACCGGCGAUUUCCGAAUGGGGAAACCCAGUGUGAUUCGUCACACUAUCGUUAACUGAAUACAUAGGUUAACGAAGCGAACCGGGGGAACUGAAACAUCUAAGUACCCCGAGGAAAAGAAAUCAACCGAGAUUCCCCCAGUAGCGGCGAGCGAACGGGGAGGAGCCCAGAGCCUGAAUCAGCAUGUGUGUUAGUGGAAGCGUCUGGAAAGGCGCGCGAUACAGGGUGACAGCCCCGUACACAAAAGCGCAUGUGCUGUGAGCUCGAUGAGUAGGGCGGGACACGUGGUAUCCUGUCUGAAUAUGGGGGGACCAUCCUCCAAGGCUAAAUACUCCUGACUGACCGAUAGUGAACCAGUACCGUGAGGGAAAGGCGAAAAGAACCCCGGCGAGGGGAGUGAAAAAGAACCUGAAACCGUGUACGUACAAGCAGUGGGAGCACAGGUUUACCUGUGUGACUGCGUACCUUUUGUAUAAUGGGUCAGCGACUUAUAUUCUGUAGCAAGGUUAACCGUAUAGGGGAGCCGCAGGGAAACCGAGUCUUAA